GAUGAACGCUGGCGGCGUGCCUAAUACAUGCAAGUCGAGCGAACAGACGAGGAGCUUGCUCCUCUGACGUUAGCGGCGGACGGGUGAGUAACACGUGGAUACCCUACCUAUAAGUCUGGGAUAACUUCGGGAAACCGGAGCUAAUACCGGAUAAUCUAUUGAACCGCAUGGUUCAAUAGUGAAAGACGGUUUUGCUGUCACUUAUAGAUGGAUCCGCGCCGCAUUAGCUAGUUGGUAAGGUAACGGCUUACCAAGGCAACAAUGCGUAGCCGACCUGAGAGGGUGAUCGGCCGCACGGGAACAGAGACACGGUCCAGACUCCUACGGGAGGCAGCAGUAGGGAAUCUUCCGCAAUGGGCGAAAGCCUGACAGAGCAACGCCGUGUGGGUGAUGAAGGUCUUGAGAUCGUAAGAUUCUGUUAUUAGGGAGGAACAGAUGUGUAAGUAACUAUGCACGUCUUGAGGGUACCGAGUCAGAAAGCCACGGCUAACUACGUG
rnacentral:rRNA from 1 species